UACGUAGGGUGCGAGCGUUAAUCGGAAUUACUGGGCGUAAAGCGUGCGCAGGCGGUUUUGUAAGACAGGUGUGAAAUCCCCGGGCUUAACCUGGGAACUGCGCUUGUGACUGCAAGACUUGAGUACGGCAGAGGGGGGUAGAAUUCCACGUGUAGCAGUGAAAUGCGUAGAGAUGUGGAGGAAUACCGAUGGCGAAGGCAGCCUCCUGGGUCGAUACUGACGCUCAUGCACGAAAGCGUGGGGAGCAAACAGG
rnacentral:rRNA from 1 species